GGCCGCGGGAAUUGGAUUCAGGCCUAACACAUGCAAGUCGAACGAUGAAACUCUAGCUUGAUAGAGAUGAUUAGUGGCGGACGGGUGAGUAACAUUUAGGAAUCUGCCUAGUAGUGGGGGAUAGCUCACGGGAAACUAGAAUUAAUACCGCAUAUGACAUACGGGUGAAAGGGGGCGCAAGCUCUUGCUAUUAGAUGAGCUUAAAUCAGAUUAGAUAGUUGGUGGGGUAAAGGCCUACCAAGGCGACGAUCUGUAACUGGUCUGAGAGGAUGAUCAGUCACACCGGAAGUGAGACACGGUCCGGACUCCUACGGGAGGCAGCAGUGGGGAAUAUUGGACAAUGGGGGCAACCCUGAUCCAGCCAUGCCGCGUGUGUGAAGAAGGCCUUUUGGUGUAAAGCAAAAGAAGCAGGGAGGAGAGGCUAAUGGUUAAUACCCAUUAGAUUAGACG
rnacentral:rRNA from 1 species